rnacentral:rRNA from 1 species
UACGAAGGGGGCUAGCGUUGUUCGGAAUUACUGGGCGUAAAGGGCGCGUAGGCGGUCCUGAUCGUCGGAUAUGAAAGGCCUGGGCUCAACCUGGGAAUGGCAUCCGAUACGGCGGGACUGGAGUGUGGGAGAGGUUGGUGGAAUUCCCAGUGUAGAGGUGAAAUUCGUAGAUAUUGGGAAGAACACCGGUGGCGAAGGCGGCCAACUGGACCACAACUGACGCUGAGGCGCGAAAGCGUGGGGAGCAAACAGG